rnacentral:lncRNA from 1 species
UCAAUCACACAAAUGAAUUGAAAUAGCAUAUGGAUUACAAAUACGCAAUGAAACAAUAAUCUAAUUGUAAAACAUAAAAACUCAAUAGAUACUUAAAGCACGUAAAAGAUAUCAAAUGAUACUAUGUGCUUUCAAACAUUCAACAUAUGUUUUUGUCUAAGAGUUUUAUUUGAAACAAAAAAAAAAUUAUCGUCAACACAAUUGAAAUCUCACUUUCUUGUAUUUUUCUCACUUUCAUAUACCAGUCAAAGAAAUUUUGGGGAGUAAAGGGAAAUUG